rnacentral:rRNA from 1 species
UACAGGGGGGGCAAGCGUUGUUCGGAAUUACUGGGCGUAAAGGGCUCGUAGGUGGCCAACUAAGUCAGACGUGAAAUCCCUCAGCUUAACUGGGGAACUGCGUCUGAUACUGGAUGGCUUGAGUUUGGGAGAGGGAUGCGGAAUUCCAGGUGUAGCGGUGAAAUGCGUAGAUAUCUGGAGGAACACCGGUGGCGAAGGCGGCAUCCUGGACCAACACUGACACUGAGGAGCGAAAGCGUGGGGAGCAAACAGG